rnacentral:rRNA from 1 species
CACGCAGGCGGUUUGGUAAGUCAGGGGUGAAAGCCCACAGCUUAACUGUGGGAUUGCCUCUGAUACUGCCUUUCUGGAGUGCAGGAGAGGGAAGCGGAAUUCCGAGUGUAGAGGUGAAAUUCAUAGAUAUUCGGAGGAACACCGGUGGCGAAGGCGGCUUCCUGGCCUGUAACUGACGCUCAGGUGCGAAAGCGUGGGGAGCAAACAGGAUUAGAUACCCUGGUAGUCCACGCCCUAAACGAUGGGCACUAGGUGUGGGAGGUAUCGACCCCUUCCGUGCCGCAGCUAACGCAUUAAGUGCCCCGCCUGGGGAGUACGGCCGCAAGGUUGAA